rnacentral:rRNA from 1 species
AUUGAACGCUGGCGGCAGGCUAACACCUGCCAGUCGAGCGGAUGAAGGGAGCUUGCUCCUGGAUUCAGUGGCGGACGGGUGAGUAAUGCCUAGGAAUCUGCCUGGUAGUGGGGGAUAACGUCCGGAAACGGGCGCUAAUACCGCAUACGUCCUGAGGGAGAAAGUGGGGGAUCUUCGGACCUCACGCUAUCAGAUGAGCCUAGGUCGGAUUAGCUCGUUGGUGGGGUAAAGGCCUACCAAGGCGACGAUCCGUAACUGGUCUGAGAGGAUGAUCAGUCACACUGGAACUGAGACACGGUCCAGACUCCUACGGGAGGCAGCAGUGGGGAAUAUUGGACAAUGGGCGAAAGCCUGAUCCAGCCAUGCCGCGUGUGUGAAGAAGGUCUUCGGAUUGUAAAGCACUUUAAGUUGGGAGGAAGGGCAGUAAGUUAAUACCUUGCUGUUUUGACGUUACCAACAGAAUAAGCACCGGCUAACUUCGUG